rnacentral:rRNA from 1 species
GGAAGUAAAAGUCGUAACAAGGUUUCCGUAGGUGAACCUGCGGAAGGAUCAUUACUGAUUUAGCGAACCGAGCAUUAGCGAGGUUUUGCGAUCAAUUUAUAUUUAAAACCCACUCUUUAAUGUAUAAAAUUUGUAUUAAUGAUAAAUUAAAAGAUCACUUUCAACAACGGAUCUCUUGGCUCUCGCAUCGAUGAAGAACGUAGCGAGGUGCGAUAGGUAAUGUGAAUUGCAGUAUUCCGUGAAUCAUCGAAUCUUUGAACGCAUAUUGCACUUUCUGGUAUUCCGGAAAGUAUGCCUGUUUGAGGGUCAGUUAAAUAAAAAUCGGUGUUGUUGCUGCCUUUCGUGGUGACGCGUCGGAAUUGAGUUGUCUUACCUUCGGUUAAGUGACUUAAAAUUUUGUAUGAUUUUUGAACGUAUUUAAAUUUAUUUGUACGUUUGAGAUAUCGAAUGUUUAUUAGGUUCGGUCAUUCUAAUGACUCGCGCCUAUAGUUUUUCAUUAAAUGACCUCAAAUCAGGUAAGAAUACCCGCUGAACUUAAGCAUAUCAAUAAGCGGAGGA